rnacentral:rRNA from 1 species
GACGAACGCUGGCGGCGUGCUUAACACAUGCGAGUCGAACGCUGAAGCUCAGCUUUUGUUGGGUGGAUGAGUGGCGAACGGGUGAGUAACACGUGAGUAACCUGCCCCCUUCUUUGGGAUAACGCCCGGAAACGGGUGCUAAUACUGGAUAUUCACUGGUCUCCGCAUGGGGGUUGGUGGAAAGGGUUUUUCUGGUGGGGGAUGGGCUCGCGGCCUAUCAGCUUGUUGGUGGGGUGAUGGCCUACCAAGGCUUUGACGGGUAGCCGGCCUGAGAGGGUGACCGGUCACAUUGGGACUGAGAUACGGCCCAGACUCCUACGGGAGGCAGCAGUGGGGAAUAUUGCACAAUGGGCGCAAGCCUGAUGCAGCGACGCCGCGUGAGGGAUGGAGGCCUUCGGGUUGUGAACCUCUUUCGCUCAUGGUCAAGCCGCAACAAUGGUUGUGGUGAGGGUAGUGGGUAAAGAAGCGCCGGCUAACUACGUG